UUAAACAACUACAGGAAGAUGCUGUCAACCAGGAAGGCAUCCUUAGGAAGAGGCUCCAAGAAACCAGCCAACGGCUGGAGGAUGUGGAGGAGCAGGGUAAGGAUCGAGAUCGAGAAGCCCACACUGCCAGUGAAAAAGCUACGUCUUUACUGCAUAAAUUAGAGGAAGCAAUUUCGGAACAACGGAACCUUCAAACUAUAAAUACUGAAUUAUCGAACACUUGCCAGGCACUUCAGCAGAAGACAAGGAAACUGAAGACAACAAUUGAGUCACUUCAAAAGGAGUUCAUUGAAGGGGAACACCAUGGCUUGCUGUUUCAGAGCUUUUUAGAUGAGGAAUUUCCUCACUAUGAUUCCCUGUCCUGCGCAGAUGCAAUUCAACAACCUCUUCAAGAAAAAUUGAAGCAGUGUUGCCACAAACUAUAUGGUGGUCAAGAAGCAAGAAUACAUCAGACACCCCUGACCUUGAAACAUACGUGCUGGUACACACCUCUGCUGGAUGCCUUAUCUCUGGAUAGUUUUACAGCAGUUCCAACCCUGGAAU
rnacentral:lncRNA from 1 species